rnacentral:rRNA from 1 species
UGGGGAAUUUUGGACAAUGGGCGAAAGCCUGAUCCAGCAAUGCCGCGUGUGUGAAGAAGGCCUUCGGGUUGUAAAGCACUUUUGUCCGGAAAGAAAUCCUUGGCUCUAAUACAGUCGGGGGAUGACGGUACCGGAAGAAUAAGCACCGGCUAACUACGUGCCAGCAGCCGCGGUAAUACGUAGGGUGCAAGCGUUAAUCGGAAUUACUGGGCGUAAAGCGUGCGCAGGCGGUUUGCUAAGACCGAUGUGAAAUCCCCGGGCUCAACCUGGGAACUGCAUUGGUGACUGGCAGGCUAGAGUAUGGCAGAGGGGGGUAGAAUUCCACGUGUAGCAGUGAAAUGCGUAGAGAUGUGGAGGAAUACCGAUGGCGAAGGCAGCCCCCUGGGCCAAUACUGACGCUCAUGCACGAAAGCGUGGGGGAGCAAACAGGAUUAGAUACCCCUGGGUAGUCCACGCCCUAAACGAUGUCAACUAGUUGUUGGGGAUUCAUUUCCUUAGUAACGUAGCUAACGCGUGAAGUUGACCGCCUGGGGGAGUACGGUCGCAAGAUUAAAACUCAAA